rnacentral:lncRNA from 1 species
CUUUUCUUCUAAUCACAUCAUCUAGCUCCUGUGGGACAGCUGAAUAGAAAAUUAUAAUCUAUUAGAUUGUGCUAUAAUUAACAGGGGAGCAGCUUUUACAGACCUGAAUUUAAAAUGUGCCAAGGAAGGCAAUUCUAAGUGCUUCCACAAGAGAAUAAUCUUUCUCAGUGGUUCUUUGGAUUCUGACCAAGACCCUCGAAUAGGAUAAAUCCAAAAUCACAGCUCUACAGCAGUAGCUGAGAAGUGGUUGUUUGGAGGAUGUAAUCUCUAUGGCAACCUUGUGCUUGAAGAGAGUUCUUUGUAGAUUACAUCAAUCAUAUAAAUUUCCUUGAUGGGUGAUGUAAUGGGUUUUCAUAUUCAUUUUCUAUUUCUUUAUUUUGUGCAGAUGAUGAUGUAAAAGGCUGAACUAAAAAUAACAACUGAUCUUACAUAUACCAUUCCUCUGCUGCAUUGGUAUGUCACAGCUGUGAUCUCCACAGGAUGAUGAAGAGGUUGAAAUGUCAUUGGCACAAAACUGCAAAAUGGUGAAAACUUACCCAGUGUCUCCUUUUUCAUGUAUGACAAACUGUCAAGAUAUAGUAAUGAAGGGAGAAGAGCUUGAUAAAGAUCCAAAGUACAGUUUGGACU